rnacentral:tRNA from 1 species
GGAGGUAUAGCUUAGUGGCAGAGCACUUGCCAAGCACACACAAGUCCUAGGUUACAUUCCUAGCACCUCAG